rnacentral:rRNA from 1 species
AAUGAACGCUGGCGGCGUGCUUAACACAUGCAAGUCGAACGGAAAGGCCCAAGCUUGCUUGGGUACUCGAGUGGCGAACGGGUGAGUAACACGUGGGUGAUCUGCCCUGCACUUCGGGAUAAGCCUGGGAAACUGGGUCUAAUACCGGAUAGGACCACAUUUUGGAUGGUGUGGUGGAAAGUUUUUCGGUGUGGGAUGAGCUCGCGGCCUAUCAGCUUGUUGGUGGGGUAAUGGCCUACCAAGGCGUCGACGGGUAGCCGGCCUGAGAGGGUGUACGGCCACAUUGGGACUGAGAUACGGCCCAGACUCCUACGGGAGGCAGCAGUGGGGAAUAUUGCACAAUGGGCGCAAGCCUGAUGCAGCGACGCCGCGUGGGGGAUGACGGCCUUCGGGUUGUAAACUCCUUUCGCUAGGGACGAAGCGUUAUGUGACGGUACCUGGAGAAGAAGCACCGGCUAACUACGUG